rnacentral:lncRNA from 1 species
AUUAGUUAGUUUAUCUGAUUUAUAAGGAAGAGUUUCAUGUGAAUAAACCUUCUCCACACCAAAAACUGCACACCAAUUUAUUAGUAACAUCACAUUUAUUUUGGGUGUUUAAGGAGAGGAGUCCUCAUUUACUUAUCUUAAUUUUCUUACAUCUUCCACACGUCCUUUAAUUUUGUGUGCCAUCAGAUGGUACCUUGGGAUAUGUGGGCGUAGAAGAGGAGAAGGAGUCCUUCUCUGAGAAGGAACUCUAUGCCAAAAUAAAUUGGGAUGCCCACUUUUUGUGCAAUGAAAUGGAAGAGUCCAUUUCUUGUCAAACUCUUAAUUCCUUCCUUUAUUUCUCCAUGCGUUUCUUAAUUCCUCAUGACAUAAGAUGACUCUUGGGAUUAUGGAUGUAGAAGGGAAGGAAGAAUCUUUCUCCGACAAGAAGUUUGAAUGUCAAAUAAAUUGGACACCCUUUCAUAUAUGCAUUGAGUUUAUGGA